GAUCUCUCUGAAGACCAAGUACAAUAAUGCUAUUUAUGUUAUCCAAAGGGCUCUUGCUCUUUACUCUAUCGAAGAGGUUGCCUUCAGCUUCAAUGGAGGAAAAGAUUCAACUGUCCUGUUGCACCUCCUGAGGGCGGGCUU